GUUUUAUAUAACUGUUCAUGGGGACCACCUCAUGGUUGCAGAUACAUAGUUUUACAGUGCUUCAUGAAAUAGUUGCAUAUCAUCAUGUCUAAAAGAAGAAUCAUGACGGACACAACUUCAAGAAAUUCUUCUUGUAAUAUAACAUAAUUUGUAUAUACCUCAUAGAGGAUGUAACUUGUUGGUUGCAUUUAAUAUUGUGACACACUCGCCAUCUUCUAUGCCAGCAUUAUUUGGGUGAUGAUUUAAUAUUCAAAAGCAUACAUCAAGGUAGUUAAGUGUAAUGAUAUUCUUGUGAAAAUAACUUCCAUAGUGUAUACUUGCAUAUAUGUAUUGUUCUAUUGUAUUCUCACAGUUAAUCAUUUUUCUUAUUUUUUUUGUUUAUUUACGUUUAGAGCAAGAUUAUAAAUUAAGCUGAGCAUAAUUUCUGCAGAUUAUAGAUGGCCCACUAAAAGACAAAGGACGAAGGCGCAAACUUCAACUAGUUUGUCGACAGGAGCACGAACAACCACAACUUCUACAAAGCUUCCACAUGGUUUCAUCUAGUAUCAUGCGAAAAACAUUGAGACAAUCAAGAUUACUUGAGCAACCUAAAUUAUGUUAGUUGUUACCUGCUUUCAAAUGAAUGUGUCCUCUCAUAGUAUGCAUGUACUUCUGUUGUUGAGGAAUUUAUAUCAUUAGACAGUUCUAUUAUUCAUAAUUAUUGAUUAA